UUUUCAGAAAUUAUUUAUGUGACAAAAAUGAAUACAAAUAAGGGGGUUAUGUCUUUCGAGCGUCAGUAAAUUGAUUUCUAACAUCACUGACCAUUGUGUAACCGGGUUGAAUUUAUUACAUUUAUAUUUAUUAACUCUCGGUUAAUACUUAAUCAUGUUCCUUUCCGAUUAAUCCCUGUUUGUCGUCUUUCUACUUUUACUUUCGGUUUUGUAGUUAUUUUUUUAUACCUUUUUUAUUUUUAGUUCCCGCGCUUUGGUCAUGUGAUUAGUCAUGUGGUAGUUUUAUACCUGUUGUACGUCAUUCUUUCGCUAUAACUGGCAGAGGUCAGACAUGUUUUAUAGAAAGAAGUGAAACGUUUGUCUUGAGUUUUCUAAACUCGGCUAGCAGUGUGAGGUGUAGCAUUUUAUCCUUUUGUAAAGUAGAUACAGUAACCGGAGCAAAGACAGAGAGACGUGGUGUGUGUCAUGUAUUGUUACAGAAAGGGUUUGAUCCCAUCAGAUCAACCUGAAAGGUUUUGGUAUCUGUCCAUAAGAAGGAAUAGUAUUUGGAAGAGUGCUGGUAUUAACUGUUAUCAACUGAUAAGACUGAUCAUCGAUAAGUGACCUGAUGGCCGACCGGACAAUAAAUUAUCAAGUGCUGUUUUCAUAUCGGAGGAGAUGAUUGCAUGUACGGGCAUUGGGCUGGGAAAAUCAAACCCUGGCGAUUAAACACCGACUACCCUAAAACCUGAUAAAAGUGGAAGACCUGAAAGACUAUGUGACAAUGUGGUGUAAAAAGAAGUAUGGUGCAGCGAACUGAUGCUAGGCGGAAUCUGGCAAUAACAGAAAGAAUUGGAUAUAUGUCAAUAAGUUUGCCAAAUAAGAACAAAUAUUCAGUGAAAAUGACUUCAGUGUAUACUUCUCUAGUGUUAAAUGGCAUUUAAUGGAAUAAUUCUUAUUUUGAAUUUUAUAUAUAUUUAGCAGAUUAGAAAGCUUCAAAGGUAUUUAUAUCAUUCGUUUCUAAUUUGUCAUGUAAAAAUCAUUUUCAUGUUAUUAUUUUGAAUUCUGUGAAUUAAAUAAUUUACAAAGAA